rnacentral:rRNA from 1 species
UACAGAGGUCUCAAGCGUUGUUCGGAUUCAUUGGGCGUAAAGGGUGCGUAGGCGGCGUGGUAAGUCGGGUGUGAAAUCUCGGAGCUUAACUCCGAAACUGCAUUCGAUACUGCCGUGCUUGAGGACUGGAGAGGAGACUGGAAUUUACGGUGUAGCGGUGAAAUGCGUAGAUAUCGUAAGGAAGACCAGUGGCGAAGGCGAGUCUCAGGACAGUUACCGACGCUGAGGCACGAAGGUCAGGGGAGCAAACGGG